UACGGAGGAUCCGAGCGUUAUCCGGAUUUAUUGGGUUUAAAGGGUGCGUAGGCGGCCUAUUAAGUCAGGGGUGAAAGACGGUAGCUUAACUAUCGCAGUGCCUUUGAUACCGAUAGGCUUGAAUAUACUUGAGGUAGGCGGAAUGUGACAAGUAGCGGUGAAAUGCAUAGAUAUGUCACAGAACACCAAUUGCGAAGGCAGCUUACUAAAGUAUGAUUGACGCUGAGGCACGAAAGCGUGGGGAUCAAACAGG
rnacentral:rRNA from 1 species